rnacentral:rRNA from 1 species
GACGAACGCUGGCGGCGUGCCUAAUACAUGCCAGUUGAGCGAUGAAGAUUGGUGCUUGCACCAAUUUGAAGAGCAGCGAACGGGUGAGUAACGCGUGGGGAAUCUGCCUUUGAGCGGGGGACAACUUUGGGAAACGAAUGCUAUUACGGCUUACCACUUUAAACAUUAGUUUUAAGUUUGAAAGAUGCAAUUGCAUCCCUCCAAGAUGGUCCCGCGUUGUAUUAGCUAGUUGGGGAGGUAAAGGCUCACCAAGGCGAUGAUACAUAGCCGACCUGAGAGGGUGAUCGGCCACAUUGGGACUGAGACACGGCCCAAACUCCUACGGGAGGCAGCAGUAGGGAAUCUUCGGCAAUGGACGAAAGUCUGACCGAGCAACGCCGCGUGAGUGAAGAAGGUUUUCAGAUCGUAAAACUCUGUUGGUAGAGAAGAACGUUGGUGAGAGUGGAAAGCUCAUCAAGUGACGGUAACUACCCAGAAAGGGACGGCUAACUACGU